rnacentral:rRNA from 1 species
GAUGAACGCUAGCUACAGGCUUAACACAUGCAAGUCGAGGGGCAGCACGGUGUAGCAAUACAUUGGUGGCGACCGGCGCACGGGUGAGUAACGCGUAUGCAACCUACCUAUCAGAGGGGAAUAACCCGGCGAAAGUCGGACUAAUACCGCAUAAAACAGGGGUUCCACAUGGAAAUAUUUGUUAAAGAAUAAUCGCUGAUAGAUGGGCAUGCGUUCCAUUAGAUAGUUGGUGAGGUAACGGCUCACCAAGUCCACGAUGGAUAGGGGUUCUGAGAGGAAGGUCCCCCACACUGGUACUGAGACACGGACCAG